rnacentral:lncRNA from 1 species
CAGAAAACACUGCAUGUGUUUACACCUCAUUAUUGAGAGCUGAACACUCUUGGAUAUUCUAAAGUGAUGUGGUCCUCAGAAAACUUUACAUGCACCAUUGGGUGGAUGUGCUCAAGGGGAGACAUUUCCUGUCAGAAUGAUUAGUUAGAAGCUAACAGUGAAGUCCCUCAAUUAGCAUUCCUUCAACAUGCCAUCUGUGAGGAAGUUGGCUGGAGGGGUUCAGUGAUGUGUAUAAGAUGGCAGGGACACAUUGAAAGGACAUCUGCCUGAAGUGAAAAGUGUAAAAUCCUAGGCUUUCAGCUCAAUAUCAAGAUUCUCUAGGAUUCGUCUCCAUCCUUCCUUGAUCUGGACUUUUUUCCCACCUUGCCCCACUUUGAGGUCUGUUGUUUAUUUCUCUCUCUCUUGCUACACUGUGAAAUUCUGGCAUAUUAUUUUACAGUAGAAAU